CUAGGGACAGCAAGGCAAGCCCCUAGCCCAGGCAGGAAGAAUCAUCAGUACUAAUUUAAUACCAGCCAUGGCAGAUGCUGUGAGGGCUAGCAUGAAUAGGAGUCAGAAGGGUCUGUUGAGGAGGUGGAAAGACCAUAAGGGGGGGGGGCUGUUUUCUGGAGGUUAUCUGCAGUGCAUUCAGCUGGCCACAAAAGGCUUGCGGUCCACAAACAUCCACACCCAAAGCUUUUUAUUCAUUUUUUUUCUCUGUCUUUUGGAAUGGUCUCUAAAAUCACUGAGAUACUGUUACCACCGCAGGGAUAACAUCAAAGCAGCAAGUUACUCAGCAUCUCAAAGGUGAGGAGGAGUAAGGCUAAAGGCUAUGCCUGGACUACCAGAGAACAUCCYCCUUGGGGAGUGCACCCUACACUCCCAGUCCCAGGAGCAGCUCACUCCCCAGACAGAAAGCACCGUGUUCAGCCUGUCCCGCAGCGAGUCCCUCUGGACCAACGAGUCAGCCCGCAGCACAUGUGAGAUCUACUGGUUCCCAUUCCACCUCAUGUCCACUGGGGGCAGCAUCUUUGCCUGCGGCUUCAUCCUGAGUGGCCUGUAUUUUGCUGGCUACUGCAGGAAGGCCACCAACAUCCUGGGCCCGGCCCUGGUAUCCAUUGGCCUGAUGGUGCUGGUGGUGGGCGUGGUGCUGAUCCCCAUCACCAAGGAGAACAGGAAGCAGCCCACCAUGAAGAAGCCCUUCAGUUACUACAGGCAACCAGUCUUUAAAUUAUGAGGUGGGCCGGGCGGGGUAUCCCUAUCUUGUAUGCUGUGAUCCUGGAGAGUCCUCAGGCUCAAAGUCUGGUUAUUAGACCAUUUAGUUUCCCAAAAGCACAAUGGAGGAUUCGAUACUUCCCUGCUGAGCAUGGCUACAUGUUCACAUGAUGAAUGUUUGCUCUAAAGACAAUUAACUUGUAGGGGGACAUGAACCGUUCUAUUUUCUUCCACCACUACGUAUGUAUACUGUAUUUUAAUAUCUGCAUGACAAAGUAUACAUUAUAACCAAGGUUCUUUGGCAUUUGUUCUUAAGCAUUUGAAAGUACUAGAAAAUUACAAUGCUGCCAAAAAACACAAUUAUAAAUGUAGUCCACUGCUUUUAUGCAUAAUUAUUAGAAUGAGUGACAAGCAUAUUGAGAAGAAAGAUGUGUGCAUGUACAUUGAUGAGAGCAGGAUUGAGUAUUGACAGCAUGCCUUUGUGGUAGGCCAUCAUUGAAAAUAAGAAUUUGUUCUUAACUGACUUGCCUAGUUAAAUAAAAGGUAAAAUAAAUAACAUUUGGUGAUGGAUGCAUUUCUUUUCAGCUGCAGGCUAUACUCAUCACAUCCACAGCCUUUACAGACUUCCAGUGAUGUGUGUGUGUGUUAGAUGUCAUCUCUGUGACGGGCAGUGUGACACUUGACUGGCCCAACAAAUUAAACGUUUUUAGUGCCAAGGGGAAGUGAAGAACAUCACACUUUUCAUAGCAUUUGAAUGUCCUUCUCGUGACUGGACUGAAACUUUGAUUUCACACAACCUCAAUUUUAGAGUGAAUAUAAAAUACUAUUAGAAUAAUGAUGUUUCUGUUUCUGUUCAGAAUGCCGUAUGUGACUGACUAGGUUUGUCUAAAUGUGGCAAAUUAUAUCAACGUGGUCGAUUUUGUUGAUGUAUAGGGUGGGCAGACUAUUAUKUCCACGACAUUCCCUUAUGUAUUUUCACUUGUAGGUGAAUACUCAUUUGACUGGCAAAUUACAUUACGUCGAARGAACUGWGUUGGCCUGCACACAAGCUGCAUCAUUUGCAUCAAGCAACAACAYCAUAUGUGAGACAACCACUUCUGGUGAAUAGGCUACUGUAAAAUAAGUGCGCCAUAAGAAAGUAUAGCUCUUUUUGUUUGUCUAUUUUAUGUGUUUGCUGAUCAAUUAAAUUAUAGUCUGUUAUCGUGACAAAGGACUUUUUUUUAAAGAAGAAGAAAAUAAAUGGUGUACUGUCUACCUUUCGCUCUGAACACGUCACGAUGGGGCGGCUCUCACAGCAGGUGUGCUCUCUGGGUGCGAGAAGAAUAGAAGGAACAGAAUAGACGCACCUUCCGUUAUUUUCAGGGUGUAUCGACACAAUGAUGGACCUUAGAUGCAUAGGCGGGUGUGUGCCGUUAUUUUUUCUGGCCAUUGGUUUUGAUGUUAUUGGUUUCAUUAUCCUGUUCAUUGGAAUUUUUGCCAAUUUGCGUAUCGAUGGCAGGUUUUAUGGCGAUUUCUUGAUUUACAGUGGUUCAAUUAUAAUUUUCAUAAGUUUGGCUUGGUGGAUUAUGUGGUACGUGGGAAAUAUACAGGUCUCAGAAGACAGCUUUGGAACAAGCUUAAUGAAAAAGAAACGGAGUUUUGUACAGUUGGCCAGAAAGUUGUCAGAGAGGCUUUCCAAAAAAUGCAAACCUGAACAUGUAACCACAAAGUAUGCCGAGGAAAACAAGGUUAAAGCUGUGACGCCUUCACCUGUUCACGUCGCCUCUCGAAUAACCUGGGGGAAAUCUUUCGGUUAUCAGAAUGGUGGCUAUGACUCAAGCUUGAACUCCUUUUCGAUGGAGAAGGAAAAACAGACACCAGAUAUACAGAACUUGGAUGUGCAGACCCUCGCUAGGGGUAAUGUUGAAAGGCUGUUCUGAUUGUUCUCCGUAGCACUUUCUGAUCCCAAGACUACCUUCAACACUGUACGCUUCACGGAAUGGGACUACAGACAAUUCAGGACAUUAAUCAGUACUGCUCUGGACGUCAGUUCUUGACAACAAAGACCAUAAGAUCAUUAUGGGGUGAAAUGACACAUAGUCCUAGGGGUAUAGGCCUACUGUAGAUAUUGCUCUGAAUGCAUAUUAUAUUGUUUUAGUUUUUUAUUUAUAUAUCAUUUAUUAAUAUAAUCGCCAUGUGAUAUGUGAACAUUUUAUGUUCUAGGAUCAAUAUUAUGUGGAAAGGCUAUAUUUUGUCAUAUAAACAUACUGACAUGUUAAGGUCCAUCAUAGCCAUUUUCUAGAAUAGUCUCAGACGGAAAUCCCAGAGGCCCCUGUCUGAACGGCAGGUAAUUGAACACAGGCUCUCUUCAAGCCAGACCCAGAAAUGGAAUCAUCUGCAUUUACAAUUGUUGACACUACAUAAAAACAGUAGUCAGGCAGGUUUGCCUGUGCCACAACAAUUGCAUUGCCAAAGCAGGCCGUAAACCCUCAACAAAACGUUGUGUGGCCUGGGGCACUGAGCUUGGUUUCACCUGCAUGUUGACAUUACAUGGACAUUUGGGCUAUACUCUUUUAACUGUUCACUGAGUAGGCUGAUUUAGUUUUUAUUCAUGUGCACAAACUUCUAAAAUGUAUAUUCCACCAGACAGCAUUUUUUUUUWAUGUUGUGAUUUAUUUCAUAUUUUAUUUCUUAAUAUUCUUUAGAUUUCAGUUGCCUUACCAACAUAUAGCUUUUGUCUAACAUGACUGAUAAUGAGCGUGUGCAUAUCAAGUCAUUGUACUCAGGGCGUUGCCUGUCUGUAUGCUAAUGUUACCUAAUCCUGGCCUGUUGACUCUGCUUUGCGGUCCUUGGUUGAAUAGGUAUUGCACAGAGGUAAACCAAACUCCCACGACUGUCUGACUGGUCAAACAAGGUACUUAAAGGGUGAGGUUUUUCACUGCAGUUCCUCUUUCUGUCAUGAUGUAGGAAGCAUGAAAUAGUAAAUAAUUGUGGAAUGCAUCCAGCAGACUAAAUAUAAACUGCUGAUAGAAUCACUGAAAUAUAUCUUCCCAACAUACAGUAUCUUUUUCCACACUGUUCAUAAUGUUAGAUGUUAUACAUAUAUGUUGAUGUCAUAUUUUUCAUAUCAAAUGCAUUAUUAUUUUAUACACAGAUGCAUGGUGCAUUAGAUUUUUAUUUAUUUUAAAUAUACAUCCAAUAAUCUUGAUAAGCAUCCAAAAUAAAAAUAGUUAUCUAAUGAGA